UAAGACGAACCAUGCAAACGUUAUUCGGAUUCACUGGGCUUAAAGCGUGCGUAGGCGGCGGUGUUAGUCAGGUGUGAAAGCCCUCAGCCCAACUGAGGAAUUGCGCUUGAUACUGCAUCGCUAGAGAAUGAUAGAGGUGGGUGGAACUGAUGGUGGAGCGGUGAAAUGCGUUGAUAUCAUCAGGAACACCAGUGGCGAAGGCGACCCACUGGGUCAUUUCUGACGCUGAGGUACGAAAGCUAGGGUAGCGAACGGG
rnacentral:rRNA from 1 species